rnacentral:rRNA from 1 species
UACGUAGGGGGCAAGCGUUGUCCGGAAUUAUUGGGCGUAAAGAGCGCGUAGGCGGUUUGGUACGUCGGUUGUGAAAGUCGGGGGCUCAACCCUCGGAUGCCGAUCGAUACUGUCGGGCUAGAGUCCGGAAGAGGCGAGUGGAAUUCCUGGUGUAGCGGUGAAAUGCGCAGAUAUCAGGAGGAACACCAAUGGCGAAGGCAGCUCGCUGGACCGGUUCUGACGCUGAGGCGCGAAAGCGUGGGGAGCAAACGGG